GUAGGGAAUCUGCCACAAUGGGCGCAAGCCUGAUGGAGCAACACCGCGUGAGUGAAGAAGGGUUUCGGCUCGUAAAGCUCUGUUGUUAAAGAAGAACACGUAUGAGAGUAACUGUUCAUUCGUUGACGGUAUUUAACCAGAAAGUCACGGCUAACUACGUGCCAGCAGCCGCGGUAAUACGUAGGUGGCAAGCGUUAUCCGGAUUUAUUGGGCGUAAAGAGAGUGCAGGCGGUUUUCUAAGUCUGAUGUGAAAGCCUUCGGCUUAACCGGAGAAGUGCAUCGGAAACUGGAUAACUAGAGUGCAGAAGAUGGUAGUACAACUCCAUGUGUAGCGGUGGAAUGCGUAGAUAUAUGGGAGAACACCAGUGGCGAAGGCGGCUACCUGGUCUGCAACUGACACUGAGGUGCGAAAGCGUGGGGAGCAAACAGGAUGAGAAACCCGAGUAGUCC
rnacentral:rRNA from 1 species